CUGCUGGCGGAAUGCUCGAGCUGCUCGCGCGGCGAGAGCGGGCCGCCGCGUGCCGGCCGGGGGACGGACCGGGAACGGCCCCCUCGGGGGCCUUCCCCGGGCGUCGAACAACCGACUCAGAACUGAAUCCAAGCUAGCAACCGGCGCCUCUGCUCGCCGCCCGCCCCGACCCACGUAGGGGCGUUCGCGCCCCAAGGGCCCGUGCCAUUGGCUCAGCCGCCCCGGGCCGACGCGCCGCGGCGGGCCGCCUCGAAGCUCCCUUCCCACACGGCGGCGUGCUGA
rnacentral:misc_RNA from 1 species